rnacentral:rRNA from 1 species
UGGGGAAUCUUCCGCAAUGGACGAAAGUCUGACGGAGCAACGCCGCGUGAGUGAAGAAGUAUUCCGGUAUGUAAAGCUCUAUCAGCAGGGAAGAAAAUGACGGUACCUGACUAAGAAGCCCCGGCUAACUACGUGCCAGCAGCCGCGGUAAUACGGAGGGGGCUAGCGUUGCUCGGAAUUACUGGGCGUAAAGCGCACGUAGGCGGCUACUCAAGUCAGAGGUGAAAGCCCGGGGCUCAACCCCGGAACUGCCUUUGAAACUAGGUAGCUAGAAUUCUGGAGAGGUCAGUGGAAUUCCGAGUGUAGAGGUGAAAUGCGUAGAUAUCGGGAGGAACACCAGUGGCGAAGGCGGCCUACUGGGCACUAACUGACGCUGAGGCUCAAAAGCAUGGGUAGCAAACA